GUAUAAAAAGCGAAAUUUGCAUCUGGCUUCGAAUCAGACUUUGUAGGUAAAAUCCUUCUUUAUAUU
rnacentral:tRNA from 1 species